UGGGGAAUAUUGCACAAUGGAGGGAACUCUGAUGCAGCAACGCCGCGUGAAGGAUGAAGGUUUUCGGAUUGUAAACUUCUUUGAUUGGGGACGAAAAAGAGACUGUACCCAAGGAACAAGCCACGGCUAACUACGUGCCAGCAGCCGCGGUAAUACGUAGGUGGCGAGCGUUGUCCGGAAUUACUGGGUGUAAAGGGCGUGUAGGCGGGGAUAUAAGUCAGAUGUGAAAGCCCAUGGCUUAACUGUGGGAGAGCAUCUGAAACUAUAUUUCUUGAGUGCUGGAGAGGGAAGCGGAAUUCCUAGUGUAGCGGUGAAAUGCGUAGAUAUUAGGAGGAACACCAGUGGCGAAGGCGGCUUUCUGGACAGUAACUGACGCUGAGGCGCGAAAGCGUGGGGAGCAAACAGG
rnacentral:rRNA from 1 species